rnacentral:rRNA from 1 species
CCAAUAGCGUAUAUUAAAGUUGUUGCAGUUAAAAAGCUCGUAGUUGAAUUUCGGGAUUAGUAAGUUGGUCGUGCCUCUGGUAUGUACUGGCUUUACUGAUUCCUCCUUCUUGAAGAACUGUAAUGUCAUUAAUUUGGUGUUGCAGGGAAACAGGACUGUUACUUUGAAAAAAUUAGAGUGUUUAAAGCAGGCUAACGCUUGAAUACAUUAGCAUGGAAUAAUGAAAUAGGACGUUUGAUCCUAUUUUGUUGGUUUCUAGGAUUGACGUAAUGAUUAAUAGGGAUAGUUGGGGGCAUCAGUAUUCAAUUGUCAGAGGUGAAAUUCUUGGAUUUAUUGAAGACUAACUACUGCGAAAGCAUUUGCCAAGGAUGUUUUCAUUAAUCAAGAACGAAAGUUAGGGGAUCGAAGACGAUCAGAUACCGUCGUAGUCUUAACCAUAAACUAUGCCGACUAGGGAUCGGAUGAUGUUAAUUUUUUAAUGACUCAUUCGGCGCCUUACG